GAUGAACGCUAGCGGCAGGCUUAAUACAUGCAAGUCGAGGGGCAGCGCAGUGUAGCAAUACAUGGGCGGCGACCGGCAAACGGGUGCGGAACACGUACGCAACCUACCCAUAACUGAUGAAUAGCCCUCCGAAAGGAGGAUUAAUACAUCGUAACCUAGUGAAGUGGCAUCACUUUACUAGUAUAGCUCCGGCGGUUUUGGAUGGGCGUGCGCCUGAUUAGGUAGUUGGCGGGGUAACGGCCCACCAAGCCUGCGAUCAGUAACUGGUGUGAGAGCACGACCAGUCACACGGGCACUGAGACACGGGCCCGACUCCUACGGGAGGCAGCAGUAAGGAAUAUUGGUCAAUGGACGCAAGUCUGAACCAGCCAUGCCGCGUGAAGGAUGAAGGUCCUCUGGAUUGUAAACUUCUUUUAUCUGGGACGAAACCCUCGUUUUCUAACGGGAUUGACGGUACCAGAGGAAUAAGCACCGGCUAACUCCGUGCCAGCAGCCGCGGUAAGAC
rnacentral:rRNA from 1 species